ACUCCUACGGGAGGCAGCAGUGGGGAAUCUUGGACAAUGGGCGCAAGCCUGAUCCAGCCAUGCCGCGUGAGUGAUGAAGGCCCUAGGGUCGUAAAGCUCUUUCGCCAGAGAUGAUAAUGACAGUAUCUGGUAAAGAAACCCGGCUAACUCCGUGCCAGCAGCCGCGGUAAUACGGAGGGGGUUAGCGUUGUUCGGAAUUACUGGGCGUAAAGCGCGCGUAGGCGGACUGGAAAGUUGGGGGUGAAAUCCCGGGGCUCAACCCCGGAACUGCCUCCAAAACUAUCAGUCUAGAGUUCGAGAGAGGUGAGUGGAAUUCCGAGUGUAGAGGUGAAAUUCGUAGAUAUUCGGAGGAACACCAGUGGCGAAGGCGGCUCACUGGCUCGAUACUGACGCUGAGGUGCGAAAGUGUGGGGAGCAAACAGGAUUAGAUACCCUGGUAGACUGUCA
rnacentral:rRNA from 1 species